rnacentral:rRNA from 1 species
UCGAACGAAGGCUUCGGCCUUAGUGGCGCACGGGUGCGUAACGCGUGGGAAUCUGCCCCUUGGUUCGGAAUAACAGUUAGAAAUGACUGCUAAUACCGGAUGACGACGUAAGUCCAAAGAUUUAUCGCCGAGGGAUGAGCCCGCGUAGGAUUAGCUAGUUGGUGUGGUAAAGGCGCACCAAGGCGACGAUCCUUAGCUGGUCUGAGAGGAUGAUCAGCCACACUGGGACUGAGACACGGCCCAGACUCCUACGGGAGGCAGCAGUGGGGAAUAUUGGACAAUGGGCGAAAGCCUGAUCCAGCAAUGCCGCGUGAGUGAUGAAGGCCUUAGGGUUGUAAAGCUCUUUUACCCGGGAUGAUAAUGACAGUACCGGGAGAAUAAG